rnacentral:rRNA from 1 species
AGUGAACGCUGGCGGUAGGCCUAACACAUGCAAGUCGAACGGCAGCACAGUAAGAGCUUGCUCUUACGGGUGGCGAGUGGCGGACGGGUGAGGAAUACAUCGGAAUCUACUUUUUCGUGGGGGAUAACGUAGGGAAACUUACGCUAAUACCGCAUACGACCUACGGGUUAAAGCAGGGGAUCUUCGGACCUUGCGCGAUUGAAUGAGCCGAUGUCGGAUUAGCUAGUUGGCGGGGUAAAGGCCCACCAAGGCGACGAUCCGUAGCUGGUCUGAGAGGAUGAUCAGCCACACUGGAACUGAGACACGGUCCAGACUCCUACGGGAGGCAGCAGUGGGGAAUAUUGGACAAUGGGCGAAAGCCUGAUCCAGCCAUACCGCGUGGGUGAAGAAGGCCUUCGGGUUGUAAAGCCCUUUUGUUGGGAAAGAAAGGCAGCAGGUUAAUACCCCGCUGUUCUGACGGUACCCAAAGAAUAAGCACCGGCUAACUUCGUG